CUAGCACACCAUGCAGAUGCCCUGCUGUCUAAGGACAAGGAGAUUGCUGCACUGCAACAGAACUGCAGAGAUCUGGAGGCACAGAGUUCCCCUCCACCAUCCUGCAAAGGAGAAUUUGAGAAGCUUCUCAGGGAGUCUCAGAGGGAGGUGCUGCGGCUUCAGAGACAGCUGUCGGUCAAGUCGUCCAGACAGCAGCAGCAUGACCGCAGCUCUGCCACAGGUGCACCAGAGGAUUGUGGGAAAA